rnacentral:rRNA from 1 species
UACAGAGGGUGCAAGCGUUAAUCGGAAUUACUGGGCGUAAAGCGUGCGCAGGCGGCUUCUCAAGUCAGGGGUGAAAGCCCAGAGCUCAACUCUGGAAUUGCCUUUGAGACUGAGUGGCUUGAGUACGAGAGAGGUGAGUGGAAUUCCCAGUGUAGAGGUGAAAUUCGUAGAUAUUGGGAAGAACACCGGUGGCGAAGGCGGCUCACUGGCCCGAUACUGACGCUGAGGUGCGAAAGCGUGGGGAGCAAACAGG